UGCAGUUUGCUCUUUGAUGUCUCCUAUUAGCGCAUCUCACAAAUGGAGGUUCAUGUUCCUUUACUCUCCAAAUGCUGCAGAAUUGGAUCACUUUAAGUUGAUGAUGAAAACUUCUUGUGCUUGUGAUUUUCUUUAUGUUAUAGGCUUUCUUGAUUUUUGCUAAUAUAAUAUAAUGCAGGGAUAUGUUGCUACAUCAGAUGAUAUCGAUGUUCCUUCCGAGCAGAACACGGGGUUAGG
rnacentral:lncRNA from 1 species